rnacentral:rRNA from 1 species
GGUGGUGCAUGGUUGUCGUCAGCUCGUGUCGUGAGAUGUUGGGUUAAGUCCCGCAACGAGCGCAACCCUUAAGCUUAGUUGCCAGCAUUCAGUUGGGCACUCUAAGGUGACUGCCGGUGACAAACCGGAGGAAGGUGGGGAUGACGUCAAAUCAUCAUGCCCCUUAUGACCUGGGCUACACACGUGCUACAAUGGACGGUACAAACGGUUGCCAACCCGUGAGGGGGAGCUAAUCCGAUAAAACCGUUCUCAGUUCGGAUUGUAGGCUGCAACUCGCCUACAUGAAGCCGGAAUCGCUAGUAAUCGUGGAUCAGCAUGCCACGGUGAAUACGUUCCCGGGUCUUGUACACACC